GCGGCCAAAGUGUUGUGGUGGCACAUCUCCCUUCCAAGGAGAGAGCGCGGGUUCGAUUCCCGCUGGCCGCUCCA
rnacentral:tRNA from 1 species